AAUAAAUGGAGUGGAAUUCCCUUUGUGGCUCAGCAGUUAAUAAACCUGACUAGGAUCCAUGAGGAUGUGGGUUCAAUCCCUGGCCUCACUCAGUGGGUUAAGGAUCCAGCAUUAUCAUGAGCUAUGGUAUAGGUCACAGACACAGCUCAGAUCCUGUGUUGCUGUGGCUGUGGUAUAGGCCGGCAGCUGUUAACUCCAACUUGACCCCUAGCCUGGGAACCUCCAUAUGCCACGGGUGAGGCCCUAAAAAAAAAAAAAAGCAAAAAAAAAAUUUGUAAUGAAACACUAAUUGUGUGGUUUUACAUCACGUUGUGUUAGUCAAACUAGAUGAAUCUUUUUUCUUUGACUAGGAGGUAUUGAUCACUAUUUUGAGGAUCUUAUGAAGGCAGAACAUGGAGAAAAAAAGACAAAGCCUUAUGGAGUUCCUGUCGUGGAUCAGUGGUAACAAACCCGACCAGUUCCAUGAGGAUGUGUUCAAUCCCUGGCCUUGCUCAGUGGGUUAAGGAUCCGGCAUUGCCAUGAGCUGUGGUGUGUGGUGUAGGCAGCAGGUGCAGCUUGUAUGUGGCCUUGCUGUAGUUGUGUAGGCCGGCAACUGGAGCUUGGAUUCAACCCCGAGCCUGGGAACUUUCAUAUGCUGAGGGUUCGGCCCUAAAAAGCAGAAAACAAACAAACAAACAAAUAAAAACAACCCCUCAGAACCUGGGGGGAAAAAAAGCGGUGUAGGUUGUAACCGUGGCUUGGAUCUGAUCCCUGGGGAAAAUGAUAAAGGUAUUCUGGAGAUGUUCUAUACAGUUACACAUUUAACAGAUGAAAUUCUCCAUCCCUGGGAGCAAAUCAAGAGAUUAUCUUGGGAAUUUUCCUGUGGUGGCUCAGUGGAUUAAGAAUCCACUGUUGUCAUUUCAUGGCUUGGGUCACUGCUGUGGCACAGGUUCAAUUCCUAGCCCAGUAACGUCCACAUGCUGGGAUGCAGCAAAAUAAAUAAACAAAUAACCAAGAAAAUAAUUCAAGAAGUAGGAGUACACCUGAUUAUCACGACCUCAAUGAAAAAUGUCAAAAAAAAAAAGAGAGAGAUUAUCUUAAUCCCCAAAGUUAAAACUGAAACACAAAUCUAAUAGGAUAAACUUCUCCAUCUCUGGUAGUAAGUGAAAAGAUUAUUUUAACACUCUAAACAUCCAUGAUAGUGAUCUGGGUAUAACCUCAGGCAAGCAGUACUUAAAAUAAUUGUGACUGGUUUAGCUGAAAUCUAAUUGAAUGUAUUAUUUCCUGUCUGAUAAAAGAAAACUGAAGAGAGGAGCAAAGAUCAGCAUAAAGCACAACAAAGACAAAAAUUAAAGAACCAGAAGUUAUUUGCUCUAUUCAUAUGGGAUAAACAUUAAUCCUGCUGGUCAAGAAUAAGAGGAGGGUGAUUCCGCAGGCCUCACCGUAAUUCAGUUUAAGAUUUAAUCAAAGUACUUUUCAAGGAUAGUAUUCUAAAUGAAAAUGAAACUGAAUCACAAUCAAAUAGAAUUCUUGUUUUUCCAGUAUUCUAGAAAGUUUUAAAGUGAUCCCAUCUACCUGCUCUUACAUCAUCCACUUUGUACAGAAGACUAGGAUAACAUACUCAGUCCCACUUCUUGCCCAUUUGAACCUUGUCAGGCACUCCUAUUUGCAACAAAAAUAAUGCCUCAAAAUUUCCAAACUAAAAAUCCACUGUUGCUGUCCAAGAUUAAAAUCCUUAUAUUGAUCUAGACAGAUAAUACUUUAACACAGGAUGUACAUUCUUGAAAACUAAUAUUUAAGUUUCCUGAAAAUGACGUAGUUGUUUCGUAUGUGCAAGUCCCUUCAGUUCUUUGAAAUUUUAUAAAAGCAAGAGGGUUUAUCUAGCACUGACCUUUUAGGAAAAUUCUAGUACUGUCUGAUUUGAUAAUGUACAAUCAUAGCCACAUUUCAUAGCAAAAUCAAACUUUUUUUCAGAAAAAAUAAACAAGAAGCCUCUGAAUAGGGUUUUUCUAGCUACGGGUUGCAAUUAAUUAGUAAAUCAUGAAAUCAAUUAAGUGAUGCACUGCCUGUCAUCAUUAAAAACAAAAGCUGCAAGAGAAUAAAGUAAAAGAGAAUAGGAAAUCUCAAGACUAAAUCUUAGUAGUAUGUAUUGUUUUGUGAAGUAUUUAAUUUUAUGCACAAAAGUGUGUACUGGGUUAAGAUGGGACAUUUUUGAUGUUUGAGAUACACUGUUCUAAGCCUGCAUGCAGUCUUCAAAGAGCAGUCCGAGGAAGACCCUUUUAGGGGUAGGAGAGACCGUCCCUUUCCCGAUCACACACACACGUGAGAGACCUCAUUUUCUUCAUAGGCUUCAACCAAGGCCUUUCUCAAUAGAAUCAGUGCAGAGUAGUUAUGAGAACUCAGUUGUUUUAAGACAGAUACUGAAGACUUUUCCAAAACUGUAGAACAAUUCCACUCAUUUUUUUUUUUUGAAAAAAAGUCACUUAAAAUUUAAAAACUCUAGUUAUGUUAACCUGUUUACUAUUUUUAAACGAUUUUAAAAAUACCUCUGCCUUAAUUACUAAUACAGUAAAUAGCAAUAGAAUAUAACCCACAUAACGACCCUUUAUAGAGUUUGCAACAAUUUGAGAACACUUCGUCAGUAUGAAACAAAGGACUCCAGACCUGACUCAGGGCAGGUUUAACACGGCCCCAGGCCUUUCCCGGGAGAACCUAAGCGCUUCCCGCUCCACUGACACGCAGACAGGACGUUCCCCGGGUGAGAAUCCUCGGGAAUAAGAACAGAUCUUGACGAAAAUGCGUGGUCUAUACGCUUAGGAGAUUGGACAAGCACAGGUUCACAGAGCACACGAAA
rnacentral:lncRNA from 1 species